rnacentral:rRNA from 1 species
GACGAACGCUGGCGGCGUGCUUAACACAUGCAAGUCGAACGGAAAGGCCCUGCUUUUGUGGGGUGCUCGAGUGGCGAACGGGUGAGUAACACGUGAGUAACCUGCCCUUGACUUUGGGAUAACUUCAGGAAACUGGGGCUAAUACCGGAUAGGAGCUCCUGCUGCAUGGUGGGGGUUGGAAAGUUUCGGCGGUUGGGUAUGGACUCGCGGCUUAUCAGCUUGUUGGUGGGGUAGUGGCUUACCAAGGCUUUGACGGGUAGCCGGCCUGAGAGGGUGACCGGCCACAUUGGGACUGAGAUACGGCCCAGACUCCGACGGGAGGCAGCAGUGGGGAAUAUUGCACAAUGGGCGGAAGCCUGAGGCAGCAACGCCGCGUGCGGGAUGACGGCCUUCGGGUUGUAAACAGCUUUCGCCUGUGACGAAGCGUGAGUGACGGUAAUGGGGAAAGAAGCACCGGCUAACUACGU